AGCGAACGCUGGCGGCAGGCCUAACACAUGCAAGUCGAGCGCCGUAGCAAUACGGAGCGGCAGACGGGAUAGUAACACGUGGGAACGUGCCCUUUGGUUCGGAAUAACUCAGGGAAACUUGAGCUAAUACCGGAUAAGCCCUUACGGGGAAAGAUUUAUCGCCAUUGGAGCGGCCCGCGUCGGAUUAGCUAGUUGGUGAG
rnacentral:rRNA from 1 species